CCAAUAGCGUAUAUUAAAGUUGUUGCAGUUAAAAAGCUCGUAGUUGAAUUUCGGGAUCAAGGAAUCGGUCAUGCCUCGGUAUGUACUGGUUUUAUUGGUUCUCACCUUCUAAAGAACCAUGAUGUCAUUCAUUUGAUGUUAUGGGGAAUUAGGACUGUUACCUUGAAAAAAUUAGAGUGUUUAAAGCAGGCUCACGCUUGAAUACAUUAGCAUGGAAUAAUGAAAUAGGACGUUUGAUUCUAUUUUGUUGGUUUCUAGGAUCGACGUAAUGAUUAAUAGGGAUAGUUGGGGGCAUUAGUAUUCAAUUGUCAGAGGUGAAAUUCUUGGAUUUAUUGAAGACUAACUACUGCGAAAGCAUUUGCCAAGGAUGUUUUCAUUAAUCAAGAACGAAAGUUAGGGGAUCGAAGACGAUCAGAUACCGUCGUAGUCUUAACCAUAAACUAUGCCGACUAGGGAUCGGAUGAUGUUAAUUUUUUAAUGACUCAUUCGGCGCCUUACG
rnacentral:rRNA from 1 species